rnacentral:rRNA from 1 species
CCGGACCCCACUGCUAUCGAGGUGGGACUAAGCCAUGCUAGUUGAGCGCACAGAACUAUGUCUGUGAGCGGCACACUGCUCAGUAACACGUACCUAACCUACCCUUAGGACGUGGACAACCCCAAGAAAUUGGGGCUAAUCCGCGAUAGAUGUAUUGUCCUGGAAUGGUAUUACUUCUAAAGGUAUCCCGUACCUGUUUGGUAUAUGCCUAAGGAUGGGGCUGCGGCCGAUCAGGAUGUUGGUGAGGUAAUGGCUCACCAAACCUUUGACCGGUACGGGCCAUGAGAGUGGUACCCCGGACAUGGACACUGAAACAAGGGUCCAGGCCCUACGGGGCGCAACAGGCGCGAAACCUCCUCAAUGCACUUACGUGCUAAGGGGCUACCUCGAGUGCCACCUGAUGAAGGUGGCUUUUCCUAGGUCUAAAAAGCCUUGGGAAUAACAGGGGGGCAAGACUGGUGUCAGCCGCCGCAGAAACACCAUCCCCUCGAGUGGUGGGGAUGAUUAUUGGGCCUAAAGCGUCCGUAUCCUGCCGUGUAACUUUCCCGUUGAAUCCAGCGUCUUAAACGUUGGACCGCGGGAAAUACUGUACGGCUAGAGAGUGGGAGAGGUCAGCGGUAUUCUGGGUGUAGGGGCGAAAUCCUUUGAUCCCCGGAGCACCACCCGUGGCAAAGGCUGCUGUCUAGAACACGUCUGACGGUCAGGGACGAAACCUGGGGUAGCGAGCCUGAUUACAUACCCGGGUAGUCGCAGCCUUAAACUAUGCAUGCUACGUGUUGGGUUGGCCACCAGCCACCCUACCGCCUCAGGGAAGCCUUUACGCAUGCCACCUGGGAAGUACUAUCGCGAGGUUGACACUUAGGGGAGUUGGCUGGGGAGCAC